rnacentral:misc_RNA from 1 species
GUGAAUCAUCAAAUUUUUGAACGCGAAUUGCACUCUCUUCGGAGAGUAUGCCUGUUUGAGGGUCAGCCUAAAAAAAAUCGACAUAGUUGCUGUUCCGCGGUGACAUUCGUCGGAAAUUGGGUCAUCUUAAACCUUUGGGUUUUAAGCGGCUUAAAAUUUUCUUUACGAUUCCACGAACGUUUCUAAGAUUUUAUUUCUUACCCGUUUAAGUUAUCGUCUUUUAUUGACGUUGGC